UGCAUGUCUAAGUACAUGCCGUAUUAAGGCGAAACCGCGAAUGGCUCAUUAAAUUGGUUCCUUGGAUCGUACCUUACUACUUGGAUAACUGUGGCAAUUCUAGAGCUAAUACAUGCAGCAGAGCUCCGACCUUCGGGGACGAGCGCUUUUAUUAGACCAAAACCAAUCGGACCUCGUGUCCGUCUCUUGUGGUGACUCUGUAUAACUUUGGGCUGAUCGCACGGGCCCGUCCCGGCGACGUAUCUUUCAAGUGUCUGCCUUAUCAACUUUCGAUGGUAGGUUACGCGCCUACCAUGGUCGUAACGGGUAACGGGGAAUCAGGGUUCGAUUCCGGAGAGGGAGCCUGAGAAACGGCUACCACAUCCAAGGAAGGCAGCAGGCGCGCAAAUUACCCACUCCCAGAACGGGGAGGUAGUGACGAAAAAUAACAAUACGGGACUCUUUUGAGACCCCGUAAUUGGAAUGAGUACACUCUAAAUCCUUUAACGAGGAUCCAUUGGAGGGCAAGUCUGGUGCCAGCAGCUGCGGUAAUUCCAGCUCCAAUAGCGUAUAUUAAAGUUCGUUGGGGUUAAAAAGCUCGUAGUUGGAUCUCAGUUCCAGACGGGUGGUCCGCCUACCGGUGGUUACUGCCUGUUCUGAACAGCCAGCCGGUUUCUCUUGAUGAUCUUCACCGGUUGUCUUGGGUGACCGGCAAGUUUACUUUGAAAAAAUUAGAGUGCUCAAAGCAGGCGUGACGCCUGAAUAAUGGUGCAUGGAAUAAUGGAAUAGGACCUCGGUUCUAUUUUGUUGGUUUUCGGAACACGAGGUAAUGAUUAAGAGGGACAGACGGGGGCAUUCGUAUUGCGACGCUAGAGGUGAAA
rnacentral:rRNA from 1 species